GCCUACGGGGCGCAGCAGUGGGGAAUAUUGCACAAUGGGCGAAAGCCUGAUGCAGCAACGCCGCGUGAAGGAAGAAGGGUUUCGGCUCGUAAACUUCUAUCACCAGGGACGAAAGAAAUGACGGUACCUGAAUAAGAAGCCCCGGCUAACUACGUGCCAGCAGCCGCGGUAAUACGUAUGGUGCAAGCGUUAUCCGGAUUUACUGGGUGUAAAGGGAGCGUAGGCGGCGCGUUAAGUCUGAUGUGAAAACCCGAGGCUCAACCACGGGAGUGCAUUGGAAACUGGCGGGCUGG
rnacentral:rRNA from 1 species